UACGUAGGUGGCAAGCGUUGUCCGGAUUUACUGGGCGUAAAGAGCGCGCAGGCGGUCGUUCAAGUCGCGUGUGAAAUCCCUCAGCUUAACUGGGGAACUGCGUCCGAUACUGAUUGGCUUGAAUCCGGAAGAGGGAUGCGGAAUUCCUGGUGUAGCGGUGAAAUGCGCAGAUAUCAGGAGGAACACCGGUGGCGAAGGCGGGUCUCUGGGCAGUAACUGACGCUGAGGAGCGAAAGCGUGGGGAGCGAACAGG
rnacentral:rRNA from 1 species